rnacentral:snoRNA from 1 species
UUUCCUCUUAGAACACUUGCUGGGUCUGAUCAGUGCCCUGGGGAGCUGUCAGGGAAGGACAAAGCAAGUGACCACUGCUUUCUGGGUGAGAUGGCUGCAGGCUGUGCUGUUCGUCUCAAUCAGUGGUGUGACACGC